rnacentral:rRNA from 1 species
UGAAUACGAGAUGCUACGGCGUCGAAGCAGUCUAUGUCAUACUUCCAAGAAAAGCUUGCACUGUCAUAAACAAAUAAUGCCUGUACCAUAACCGACACAGGUGGGUAGGUAGAGUAUACUAAGGGGCGCGAGAUAACUCUCUCUAAGGAACUCGGCAAAAUGACUCCGUAACUUCGGGAGAAGGAGUGCCUUAUUUAUAAGGUUGCAAUAACAAGAUCCAAGCAACUGUUUACCAAAAACACAGGUCUCCGCUAAGUCGUAAGACGAUGUAUGGGGGCUGACGCCUGCCCAGUGCCAGAAGGUUAAAGAAGUUGGUUAGCAUCCGCGAAGCUGAUAACUGAAGCCCUGGUGAACGGCGGCCGUAACAAUAACGGUCCUAAGGUAGCGAAAUUCCUUGUCGGGUAAGUUCCGACCCGCACGAAAGGCGUAAUGAUUUGGAUACUGUCUCGGAGAGGGGCUCGGUGAAAUAGACUUGUCUGUGAAGAUGCGGACUACCUGCACCAGGACAGAAAGACCCUAUGAAGCUUUACUGUAACCUGAAAUUGAAAUUGGACUUUACUUGCGCAGUAUAGGUGGGAGGCGUUGAGAAUAUUCUUGCGGGAUUAUUGGAGCCAUCAGUGAGAUACCACUCUUGUAAUGUUAGAUUUCUAACUUUGUAUCAUUAUCUGGUCAAAGAACAGUUUCAGGCGGGCAGUUUGACUGGGGCGGUCGCCUCCUAAACGGUAACGGAGGCGCACAAAGGUUUCCUCUGAACGGGUAGAAAUCGUAUAUAGAGUGUAAAGGCAUAAGGAAGCUUGACUGUGAGACCUACAAGUCGAGCAGGGACGAAAGUCGGUCUUAGUGAUCUGACGGUGCUGAGUGGAAAGGCCGUCACUCAACGGAUAAAAGUUACUCUAGGAUAACAGGCUGAUCUCCCCCAAGAGUUCACAUCGACGGGGAGGUUUGGCACCUCGAUGUCGGCUCAUCGCAUCCUGGGGCGGUAGUACGUCCCAAGGGUUGGGCUGUUCGCCCAUGAAAGCGGUACGCGAGCUGGGUUCAGAACGUCGUGAGACAGUUCGGUCCAUAUCCGGUGUAGGCGUUAGAAUAUUGAGAGGAGCCUUCUUUAGUACGAGAGGACCGAGAAGGACAUACCUCUGGUGUACCAGUUAUCGUGCCAACGGUAAACGCUGGGUAGCUAUGUGUGGAGUGGAUAACCGCUGAAAGCAUCUAAGUGGGAAGCCCACCUCAAGAUAAGUAUUCUCA